rnacentral:lncRNA from 1 species
UCCGCUUCCUAGAGAAAUGGAACCCUGAUUCUAAGGCGACUAACGCAGGAAUGGCAAACCCAGAGAAUGCAUUCAAUCAAAUGAACCGAUCUUGUAGAAACACUGGAAUCAUUUAUGCAUUGCAGUUUCCCUUUCUUGUUUUCGCUCCUUCUUUCCUGGGAUAUUUUGAGUGGAUUGUGGCUAUUAAUCAAGAUCUCGUGCUAUUCGUGGUUUGCUUGUCGUUUUCGCUCAGGAUUAGCAUCAUUCAAGGCAAACGCAAAGCUGGGUUUUUUUCCCCUACUCUUUUCUGAAAAAUCAUUUUUGGGGGCUGCUGAAGAGAGCUAGGACCCAGGAGACACCUUCCCAAACAGCAGGGGUUGUGUGCUUUCACACAGCAGUACUGUACAAGGAAAACCCCGUCGGAUCUGUUAUUGCGGGAUACUUGUGAAAUAUACAUAGGAUUCUUUCUUAUGGCUGCAUCCCGGAUCUGGAAAUUUUACUUGGGGACCAAGAGGAUCUGAAGGGCUACAUGUAUACAGAAGAUUUGCAAGCAAGACUCCGAUUCUUGUCAUAGAGCUCUCAGACUUCCUCACUUACCGGCCUUUUUCCUUCCUCCUUUUUAAAAAAAAUUCUUCCCUCUUUUUCUGCUCUCUCCUCUCUCAGUGUCUCCUUCUCUAUCUGCCUCUUCUUUUUUCUCCUAGUCGUCUUUCCCCCCCCCUGCUCUGCACCUGGAUUGUAUCUUCACCAAACAAUCGGGCACUUUGAGAACUAACUGGAGGCAGUCUUGUAGGGAAGAGCUGUAUGGAAUUAUCUGCUUUUAUGGUGAACUUGGCAUUUGUGAAUGGGUAUCUUGUUCACGAUAUUAAUUGCUAGCAAAAACAAGAAAAAGAACACAGGAGUAAAACGUGGAUUUUUCUGAAUACGCAUUGUGAUGACCAGCAAUUACCUUGCCGACUGAUAUCCAGAGGAGAAUAAUUUGGAAGACUGUUGUGGGUAAGGUCAUUUUAUAUAUGCAAACCCAUCAGUGGCGUGAGCAAACUUGGGCAUCUGUAAUGGGAAUGGGUGACUUGGAUGAUUGCUGCAUCGCAUUGAUGGCUGUGAUGUGGCCGUUAUUGGCACUGAAUGGAAUAACUGCAGUUGGGUGUGUUGGUGUGUGUGCGUGUGCGUUUGUGUGUGUGUGUAUGUAGGUCUGUAUUCUGAGUGUAAUUGAAAAUAAAUCAAAGCAUCACUUCCCCCUCCAAUUAUUUUGAUAUGGAAGAGUGUCUUGAAUUAAUUCCGGGUAGACACUCUAUUGUUUGGAUGCAAUAUUUGUGGCUCCUGUGUUCUGGAAGGGGUAGCAGCAGUGAAAGGAACACUUACUGAAGAGCCCUAUUUAAAAUGAAACGAGCUACUCUUUAUUCAUUAAAAGAAAUAUGUUUUCAACUCAGUGCAGCAUUCUGCUGCAUUUCACAGCCGCAAUGGGACCAGGGACAUCCCACUUGUCAAGUUCCUAAACUUUAAGGUGAUAAUCACCAUUAAUUAUUCUCUCGGUUGUGAUUAUUGGAGAUUAUUAAGUACCCUUCGCUACUUUUUUAUCCACUGGAUUACCGUUCGGAAUGAAAAGAAAAGAAAAAGCUGAGAAUGAUGAGCAAAAAUAGAGAGUCAUGCAAUAUCAUUUUAAAUAUCACCAAAUGCUUUCUUUCUCAAGUUCAAUAGCCCAAUAAUAUAAUUAUUUACCUAAUACCCUAAAUAGCUGAAGCUGCGACCCACGUGCAGGGGAGUUGAAGGUCUGGAAGCAGAGACCAUCCUUUUAUUGCAAUGCAGCCAGCUUUGGAAAUGCAGGCAAUUACACACUUCCCUUAACCUUAAGUUCAGGAUGUGUCCUAUCUGCUACAUCUAUUUUACCCUUUCAGUAAAAAGUUAGAGACUAGAGCACGAAGGAUGUUUAAGCAUAUUCUGCCUGGGAAAUGGGAUAAAAAAAUCAAUAUUGAUGACGUGGUUCAGUGCACUGUACUGCAAUGCUAAAGUCCCAUAUUCAGUACCUAUGAUGAGAGAAUGGAGCAUUUACAUGUGUUAUAAAUCUCACCUGGUAGAUUGAUCUGAAGGGGAGGGGAGAAGAUAUGUGGAUAUGUAGGAAGAUGGAUGGAAGUCGUGCAUAAUCGGUGAUUAUGUAACUUCAUUACAUCAGCGAGCUUCAGUCAACGAUAGUGAGAUGAAAUGAUUGUAUAGAGGGAGGCUCCAUCACCUUGUUAACUUUUGAAGGCUUGAAACAGCUAACAGAGGAGGAGGCGGGCAGACAGAGAUUAGCUCCAAGGGUCCUGUAAACCCUGAUCUCUGUGGCAAAUGUAGCAUGAGUUUUCUCAUAGUGAGUUUCUGAGGGACAGCACGUCUAUGCAAGCUGUAGAGCUGGACAGGAGCAAUUUUAGCCACACCCGUGGAGAGUCAAAAUGAGUCCGCAAUGUUUCACAAGUGCCCCAUCGAGUAAUUGGGGCUGAUGAUCCCAGCCAAGGUCAUAGUUCUGUACCCUAUGAUUGACAUGCAUGACUCCAACUGAUCAGAAAGUUAAAUCGGUAGAAAUGAAGACUGCGAACAGAAUGACUAUUCGGGGUCCUCUUGCAUUUUCCCUAGUAGAGCUUAAUGCAGAUUUCAGCCUGGUGUUUCCCUCAUAAAAAAAAAAAAAAAAAAAAAAA